AUUGACCGCUGGCGGCAGGCCUAACACUUGCACGUCGAACGAGUGGCGGACGGGUGAGUUAUGUCUGGGAAACUGCCCGAUGGAGGGGGAUAACUACUGGAAACGGUAACUAAUACCGCAUACCAUCGGAUGUGCCCAGAUGGGAUUAGCUAGUAGGUGGGGCAAUGGAUCACCUAGGCGACGAUCCCUUGCUGGUCUGAGAGGACGACCAGCCACACUGGAACUGAGACACGGUCCAGACUCCUACGUGAGGCAGCAGUGGGGAAUAUUGCACAAUGGGCGCAAGCCUGAUGCAGCCAUGCCGCGUGUAUGAAGAAGGCCUUCGGGUUGUAAAGUACUUUCCGCGAGGAGGCGUUACUCGCAGAAGAAGCACCGGCUAACGCCGUGCCAGCAGCCGCGGUAAUUC
rnacentral:rRNA from 1 species